rnacentral:rRNA from 1 species
AUACGGAGGGGGUUAGCGUUGUUCGGAAUUACUGGGCGUAAAGCGUACGUAGGCGGAUCGGAAAGUAAGGGGUGAAAUCCCAGGGCUCAACCCUGGAACUGCCUCUUAAACUCCCGGUCUUGAGUUCGAGAGAGGUGAGUGGAAUUCCUAGUGUAGAGGUGAGAUUCGUAGAUAUUAGGAGGAACACCAGUGGCGAAGGCGGCUCACUGGCUCGAUACUGACGCUGAGGUACGAAAGUGUGGGGAGCAAACAGGAUUAGAAACCCUAGUAGUCC